rnacentral:rRNA from 1 species
UCCUACGGGGGGCAGCAGUGAGGAAUAUUGGUCAAUGGGCGCGAGCCUGAACCAGCCAAGUCGCGUGAGGGAAGACGGUCCUAUGGAUUGUAAACCUCUUUUGUCGGGGAGCAAAAGACGCCACGUGUGGCGUUCCGAGAGUACCCGAAGAAAAAGCAUCGGCUAACUCCGUGCCAGCAGCCGCGGUAAUACGGAGGAUGCGAGCGUUAUCCGGAUUUAUUGGGUUUAAAGGGAGCGUAGGCCGGCUCUUAAGUCAGCUGUGAAAGUCCGCGGCUCAACCGUGGAAUUGCAGUUGAAACUGGAGG